CCUACGGGUGGCAGCAGUGAGGAAUAUUGGUCAAUGGGCGGGAGCCUGAACCAGCCAAGCCGCGUGAGGGAAGAAGGUACAGCGUAUCGUAAACCUCUUUUGUCAGGGAACAAAGGCGGGGACUAGUCCCCGGAUGAGGGUACCUGAAGAAAAAGCAUCGGCUAACUCCGUGCCAGCAGCCGCGGUAAUAUGGAGGAUGCGAGCGUUAUCCGGAUUUAUUGGGUUUAAAGGGUGCGCAGGCGGCCUGUUAAGUCAGUGGUAAAAGCCCGGGGCUCAACCCCGGCGAGCCGUUGAAACUGGCGGGCGUGAGGAGAGUAGAGGUGGGCGGAAGGCGCGGUGUAGCGGUGAAAGGCUGAGAUAUCGCGAAGAACCCCGAGGGCGAAGGCAGCGUACUGGCUCGAAACUGACGCUGAGGCACGAAAGCGUGGGUAUCGAACAGGAUUAGAUACCCGGGUAGUC
rnacentral:rRNA from 1 species